AGACACAAUUAGGUAUGUGGAACAAUCCAAGCGCUGCCUCCACGAGGCAUGCAAGGUUCAUUAGGAAAGAGAACAUAAGUAUAAGAGGAGAAUAUCCACUCUCAACUCUCUGUAUAUAAUUCUCUCAACUAAAAGUUGUCCUCACAAAAGCUCUCUUAAAAUCUCCUAAGAAAACUCUCUCAUAGGCCUACCAAUACCAAGAUCCUUGACGUCCCUGGAUACUUUCUAUGGAGCAAACCACUAUAUCGUGCCUCUCCAUAGCUGUUCUGCUUGACGCUCUGCUCUGCCCCGAUCUCUUGUCGGUACUCUGCAAUGUAUGCUCUAUCCGUUAUGCAUACUCGACGCUUUAUCAAACUCCUUUCGAUGGCUGCUCGAGCCUCCCAUACAUUGAUGCCUUCGCUAACGGCUCUUUGCCACUCUUUCUGCGUGUUCUCGAUUCUAUUCUCCCACAGGGUCUCUUAAAGGCCCUAAAAUCCAACUCAGAUCGGAAUCAGACUCUGGACUAGACUUCUGUAGUUUCUUGACCAUCUGAUCGCAUCUCAAAUCAGAAACUGACCAUUGGAUCAUACCCAUCGUGAUCCUGCACAUCCUUUGAUCACCUAGAAUGGCUCACAGCCGUUGGAUCAUGACUACAAACCCUGCAGGCCAUCCGAUAGCAUCUUGGUCCAUGAGAGCCACCGUAAGCCAUGAGAAACCAGCCUAAAAUGCCUGUCGGUCCACCAUACACCACAUGAAAUGUGGUGUGAAAUGUUGUUGGUCCACGCAUGGGGCGUGGACCAUGUGAAGGUGUUGAGCUAUGCCCAUGCAUCCACUAGGCCGAGCCUGCAUGUGCCUGUCCUGGGCUGUGCGCCUGCAUGUUGGGCCUGGGCUUGGCCCACAUGCCUGGGCCCAUCUACCAUCUGUGGGCCCUACCAGCCCACCUCCUCAUCUUCUUUCGUGCAUAUGUAUCUUCUCUAUCUGAACUCCAUUUGGACUGUUUUUGGACUCGUUGGACUCCAUUCGUUGUCCUGUAUCUCGUUCUAGGCUUCUUGUGAAUUGAAUCUCGAGA
rnacentral:lncRNA from 1 species